rnacentral:rRNA from 1 species
CCUACGGUGGACUGCAGUGGGGAAUAUUGGACAAUGGGCGAAAGCCUGAUCCAGCAAUGCCGCGUGAGUGAUGAAGGCCUUAGGGUUGUAAAGCUCUUUUACCAGGGAUGAUAAUGACAGUACCUGGAGAAUAAGCUCCGGCUAACUCCGUGCCAGCAGCCGCGGUAAUACGGAGGGAGCUAGCGUUGUUCGGAAUUACUGAGCGUAAAGCGCACGUAGUCGGUUUUUCAAGUCAGGGGUGACAGCCCGGAGAUCAACUCCGGAAUUGCCCUUGAAACUGGAUGACUAGAAUCUUGGAGAGGUCAGUGGAAUUCCGAGUGUAGAGGUGAAAUUCGUAGAUAUUCGGAAGAACACCAGUGGCGAAGGCGACUGACUGGACAAGUAUUGACGCUGAGGUGCGAAAGCGUGGGGAGCAAACAGGAUUAGAUACCCUUGUAGUC